CACGUGGGGCGCAAGCGUUGUCCGGAAUUAUUGGGCGUAAAGAGCUCGUAGGCGGUCUGUUGCGUCUGCUGUGAAAACUCGGGGCUUAACCCCGAGCCUGCAGUGGAUACGGGCAGACUAGAGGUAGGUAGGGGAGAAUGGAAUUCCCGGUGUAGCGGUGAAAUGCGCAGAUAUCGGGAGGAACACCGGUGGCGAAGGCGGCAUCCUGGACCGAUAUUGACGCUGAGGAGCGAAAGCCAGGGGAGCAAACGGG
rnacentral:rRNA from 1 species